GUUUCUCUAGUGUAGUGGUUAUCACGUUCGCUUUACAUGUGAAAGGUCUUCGGUUCAAAACCGCGCGGAAACC